rnacentral:rRNA from 1 species
AURACCGACAAGUUUACUUUGAAAAAAUUAGAGUGCUUAAAGCAGGCUUAUGCUUGCAUAUUGUUGCAUGGAAUAAURAAAUAAGACUUUGGUUUUAUUUUGUUGGUUUUCGAAACURAAGUAAUGAUUAAAAGAGACUGCCGGGGGCAUAUGUAUGCUGGUG